CACGUAGGGUCCGAGCGUUGUCCGGAAUUACUGGGCGUAAAGCGUGCGCAGGCGGUUGGGUCAGUCGCUGGUGAAAGCCCCACGCUCAACGUGGGAAUGGCCAACGAGACGGCCCGACUGGAGGCAGGGAGAGGCCGGUGGAAUUCCGGGUGUAGUGGUGAAAUGCGUAGAUAUCUGGAGGAACACCGGUGGCGAAGGCGGCAUCCUGGACCGACACUGACGCUGAGGAGCGAAAGCCAGGGGAGCAAACGGG
rnacentral:rRNA from 1 species